rnacentral:rRNA from 1 species
UUUUUGGAAAUAAUUUAAAGUCUAAUCUGCCCACUGAUAAAUAUAUUAAAGGGCUGCAGUAUUUUGACUGUACAAAGGUAGCAUAAUCAUUAGUCUCUUAAUUGGUGACUUGUAUGAAAGAUUGGAUGAAAUAUAAACUGUCUCUAAUUAAUUUAUAAAAUUUAAUUUUUUAGUAAAAAAGCUAAAAUAAUUUUAAAAGACGAGAAGACCCUAUAGAGUUUUAUAAUUUAUUUGAUUAUUAUUAAUAUGUAAAUUUUAAAAUUAAAAUUAAAUAAAUUAUUUUGUUGGGGUGACAGAAAAAUUAAAUUAACUUUUUUAAAUAAUUAACAUUAAUUUAUGAAUAAAUGAUCCAUUAAUAUUGAUUAAAAGAAAAAAUUACCUUAGGGAUAACAGCGUAAUUUUUUUUUUUAGUUCAAAUAGGAAAAAAAGUUUGCGACCUCGAUGUUGGAUUAAGAUAAAAUUUAAAUGCAAAAGUUUAAAAUUUUGAUCUGUUCGAUCAUUAAAAUCUUACAUGAUCUGAGUUCAAACCGGUGUGAGCCAGGUUGGUUUCUAUCUUUAAAUAAAAAUAAUAUUUUAGUACGAAAGGAUCAAAUAUUAAAAAUAAUUUUAUAAAAAUGAAUAUUAUUAAUAAUAUUUAUAAA